AGAAGCUCUGCCUUCUCUCUAACUUUCUCAUCUUUCUUCUCUGCUUCAUCGUCUUCUUUCUGCUGAUUCUGCGAAGGUAAGUAAACCUUGCAGACGGAGUUAUGGCAAAAAGGAGAGGUCGCCCAAGAAAAGAAUUAGUACCAAUUUAUGCAAGUGAUAUUUUCCCAAAAGCUGUUAUUACUGUUCCAAAGGAAGUUAUCACUGUUCCAUUGAAAUCUGCUGCAGAAACUGUUUCAUCGCCUCAUGCAAUAGUAGAUCCACAACCAUCUGUAGUAAAUGUGAGGGUUACUAACAACUCAGACCCUC
rnacentral:lncRNA from 1 species